CAGUCGCCGCGGUAAUACGGAGGGGGCUAGCGUUGUUCGGAAUUACUGGGCGUAAAGCGCACGUAGGCGGCUUGGUAAGUUAGAGGUGAAAGCCUGGAGCUCAACUCCAGAAUUGCCUUUAAGACUGCCGAGCUAGCAGGUGAGAGAGGUAAGCGGAAUUCCGAGUGUAGAGGUGAAAUUCGUAGAUAUUCGGAAGAACACCAGUGGCGAAGGCGGCUCACUGGACCGUUGUUGACGCUGAGGUGCGAAAGCGUGGGGAGCAAACAGGAUUAGAUACCCCUGUAGUCCCUGUCUCUUAUAC
rnacentral:rRNA from 1 species